rnacentral:tRNA from 1 species
GGAGAGGUGACCGAGCGGCCGAAGGUGCACGCCUGGAAAGCGUGUGUGCGUGAAUAGCGUACCGAGGGUUCGAAUCCCUCCCUCUCCGCCA